rnacentral:rRNA from 1 species
AUUGAACGCUGGCGGCAUGCCUUACACAUGCAAGUCGAACGGCAGCACGGGAGCGAUCCUGGUGGCGAGUGGCGAACGGGUGAGUAAUAUAUCGGAACGUGCCCAGUCGUGGGGGAUAACGUAGCGAAAGCUACGCUAAUACCGCAUACGAUCUAUGGAUGAAAGCGGGGGAUCGCAAGACCUCGCGCGAUUGGAGCGGCCGAUAUCAGAUUAGGUAGUUGGUGAGGUAAAGGCUCACCAAGCCGACGAUCUGUAGCUGGUCUGAGAGGACGACCAGCCACACUGGGACUGAGACACGGCCCAGACUCCUACGGGAGGCAGCAGUGGGGAAUUUUGGACAAUGGGCGCAAGCCUGAUCCAGCAAUGCCGCGUGCAGGAUGAAGGCCUUCGGGUUGUAAACUGCUUUGUACGGAACGAAACGGUGAGCUCUAAUACAGUUUGCUAAUGACGGUACCGUAAGAAUAAGCACCGGCUAACUACGUG